rnacentral:sRNA from 1 species
UAUGACAAGGGGAUAAAAAUAAUAAUGCGUUCAUGCUUGCAUGAUAAGCAUUAUCAUUUUGAGACCCGCAAAAACAUGAGGAAGUAGCGCUUUGGGGCGGAUUCCGAAUGUUUUUAGAAUUGCGAGAGUUGCUUGCAACGGAGCAAUUCGUGUCAUA